AUGAGAUCACUAAGGAUGACCAUUCUGAGACUUGCAAUAUGGUGCCCACACUCUCAAAGAAAAAUACAUCAGCCCUGUAUGAUCCCUGAACUGGGUCCUAUAGAAACCUGGAAGCUCCAAACCUUGCCCCUGCUUGUGCCCAACAUUUAUUCCUGGUCUCAUGAAACCUGGAUCCACAGGUGGUGCUGGUACCAGACCUACGCAAUGCAGCGGCCACCUCAGCUGUGGAUAGUGAGACGGGCAGCCCCAGACAGCAACAAAACUGGCUGGCUGACGAGGAACCCAGUGAGCAGAGCUAUGCUUGGGAGUGCAGUAAAGGGUAACGAAGGAUGCAGCUGCUCCUUUGUUGCUUCCCCUCUGCCUUGCAGGUGGGCAUUCAGGCACAGACGGAACCAGAAAAGGAAAGAUGACCGUUCUCAGCACUGCAAAGUGGUGACCACACUGAAAGACAGAUAUCCAUGUUGAGAGAGCAAAUGAAGUCCAAGAAGAGGCACACAUGACAAGCGACACAAUGAAACAGGAUUAAAGCACUGGUUGCACUUGAGUGAAAGAUUAAGUCAAAUGUUUUCUGAAAUAGAUCAUUACUCCAAAAUACAAAUUCAAUUUUCUGAGAGUAUGGCUACCAGUCAAUAUAUUUAGCUGACAGGAGGUUAAUCACAGAUUUUGUUUUCAAGACUUAAAAAUCUAACAGUAACAUUAUCAAAAGCGAUGGUACUAAUUUUGAUAGAUUUAAAACUAGCUCCAAAUAAACUUGCUAUGUAAAUACA
rnacentral:lncRNA from 1 species